rnacentral:rRNA from 1 species
AGACUUUAAUUGAGUGCUAAAAGAAUGGACUUUCAAAAAAAAACUUUCYUGAAUUUAAUAUUUGAAUUUAUUUUUAUUUGUGAAGAAACAAUAAUUCAAAUUAAGGACAAGAAGACCCUAAGAAUUUUUAAUUUUACUAUUAAAUAUAUUUAAUAGUAAAAUUUUAAUUGGGGCGAUUUAAAAAGAUUAAUAACUUUUCAAAAUAAAAAUAAGAUCCAUUAGUAAUGAUUUUUUUGAAUAAAAUACUCUAGGGAUAACAGCGUAAUAAUUUUAGAUAGAUCCUAUARAAAAAAUAGUUUGCGACCUCGAUGUUGGAUUAGGAUUCUUAUUUAAUGCARAAGUUAAAAAUAARAAGUUUGUUCAACUUUUAAAAUCCUA